rnacentral:lncRNA from 1 species
GAGAGAAGGGGUCUGUUGUCUUUUUUUUUUGAAAAGUUGGCGGGCGGCAAAAGAGGGAGCCAACACACAGGCGGCUCUCGGCGAGUUUCGCGUCGUCGCCGCCGCCGCUUUUUUCCAUUUUUCGCUGCAACUGGGCCGGAUCAGGGUGCAUCGUUGCCGCGUCGCCUCCCGCGCGCGCCCGUCGGUCCGCGGCGUGCAUGGGCGGCGACGACGGCGCGGUAGCCCUCGCCCUUGUCCGUCUUGGCCUGCACGUGUCUCGACACGAAAAAGUCACGCACGGCGCCCUGCGCUACGACGCCGUCAAAGGCGUGCUUCAUGAACCAGCGGCCGAUGCGAUCGGUGAGCGCGGGGUCGUCGUCGUCGAGCCACACCUCGACGCGCAUGCUGCUCACGCGAUCGACGAGGCGCGCGCCCGUGAUGCGGUCCGAGUCGUCGCCCGUCUGCUCGCCCACGAGCGCCAACACGACCCGCUCCCACACGGCAUCGGCCUGUUGGGGCUUGAAUGCGCCUUUGAACACGACGCUGGCACCCAUGGCGUUGCGCACGUGCUCCCACUCGGGCAGCACGUUGGCGUCGAAAAAGGAAAUGCCUUCGAUGGCGCUCGCCGCACCGCCGCGGGUGCGCUCGCGGUUGGUGCCAAAGAGGGCGCUGGCCGCUGGCAGGUUGGUUUGGUGGCGCCAAAAGGAUUCGAUGGUGCCCACGGGCGUCUUGGCCAUGGGUUCCCACGUGCCCGCGUAGGACGAACCGUCGUAGCACGGACGAUGCACCCACCACUGCCAUCGGCGAUGGAGCGGAUGGCGGUCGUCAUCGCCGCCGCCGCCACCGCUGUUGGUGCACGCCGGCGCCAAGCCGGGAGGAACCGUUGGCUUUAACGGCGACGACGACGACACCACGCACCGGCCGCCCUGGGGCCGAAGCGAAAUCGUCUCGGCGUCGCAUUCGAGCGGCGCGAGCGCGCCUGCUUGGGCGACCGCGCAGCCGCUCGCCGUGGCCCGACUGCCUUGUUCUCCCUUUUUGCGCUGCAUCGCUGUCGUUGUCUUUUUUUUUUCCUGUUUUUCUCGCAAACAACUUGUUUUCCUCCUCUCAACGGCGCGAUCGGCCGGCGUCGUCGAUGCAAGGGCUGCUUUCUGUUUUCU